CUUGCACAAUGCUUUAACAUUUUGAAUUUUUGCAGGAUGAAUUAUCAUCUAGAUGUAGAGUUGAGACGGAUGCCGGGAAAAGCUACGUGGAACAGUAGCUUUGACAGUUUCACGACUGUAUUGGAGCUACUCGAUGAUCAGCAUGCAGAUAUAUUGCGUCAGUCCUUUCUUUGGCCUCUGUACCAGUUGAGAGAGGUGCAGUACUUAGGGCAGAUUAUCGAUGCACUUUUAUGUCGGUUGCUGAGUCGAGUCGACGGCGAUGCCUUCCACUUCGAUCUCGGGGGCAAAGUCGUCAGUUUUUCGAUGUUCGAGUUUGCACUGGUCACUGGAUUAAAGAUUACGGGCGAUGAAGCAGCUAGUAAAGAGAUUCAGAGAAGAAAUAGGCUACACGAUGCUUACUUUCAGGGACAGGGAGCGAUUAUUCUACCGCAGCUGAUCGACGCAAUCAGGAGGUGUGAUCAGAUGCUAGAUAGACUGAAGUUAGGUCUGGUUUACAUCCUUGAGAGCGUGUUGCGGUGUCACCAUAAGAAGACUGCGAUCGACAUCUUCCAUCUGGAGAUCGUCGACGAUAUUGAUCGCUUCAACAACUAUCAUUGGGGUCGGAGAUGUUUCGAGGAUACUGUACACGUGUUCACUAGAUCACACUCGAAGCCCAAGGGGUUUGUGCGUAAAUACGACACUUAUGGGUUGCCCUUGGCACUGCAGGUAAAUGAUUAACAUAAUCAAUAUUAAAAUAUUUUUAUAUUGAAUUUGUAUAUAAUAAUUGUAUGUGUUGUAGAUUUGGGCUUAUGAGACCGUUCCUCUAUUGGGUACUCGCUUUGCGAAGCGGGGGGGGGGUAUACGUUGCCCUCGAAUGUACCAUUGGCGAGCAUCUCGAGCAGAAGGAUGUCCAACUGGGAAACAAUUAUCGGCUCUUCUCGACGACCCUCAUGUGAGUAUUAUACAUUUGUGAUUUAUAUUGUACGUAGUUUAAAAUCUCAUUACAUGAUUGUAACGAUUUGAAUUGUUAAUAUGUCAGCUUGAAGUAAUAACUGAUUUGACACUGUCGAUGGAGGAGGAGGCUAAGGGUCUGGUGCAUGAAUUACCCAUUUCGCACACUCAAGACGAUCAGAUGUCCGAUUCGGUCCACGAUCGAGAUUGGGUACGUGAAUUGAAUAUAAUUUAUUGAUUACCGUUUUGUAUGAGUUAGCAAUUAUUGAUUAAGUUAAUAAUUUGUAAUAUUUGUGUUGGAGUACGGUUCAGUUGAUCGACGAUUGCCUCCGCCACGGGCAUCACCUCCACCCAGGGCAUCACCUCCAUCCCAGUCCAGAGACCUUCCUCGUGAAUUUCUUCCACGUAGUCAAGGUCAUUAUUUCGAUGAUCUGUAUGCUCGUCUGACUGGAUUUAUGGCGCAGGAGCUCGGCGUGCUACGUCGAGAGAUGAUAGAGAGGGUCGACAAUUUGGGACGACAGUUGGUAGGAAGGGUUGAAGAUUUAUCCGAUGAUGUUAGAGUGCUGCAUAACCAUUACGUGGACCUUCACGAUGAUAUUGUAGCACUCCGAGGUGAUAUAGCCGACAGACGAUUGAGUUGGCGAGCCUGGAGGAGGUGAUGGUCGCCGAGGCGGAGGAGAAGAGGACAACCGCUGUGACUAAAGCUAAAAAGCGUAUUGUUGACGUGUCAGAGCUGUUGGUCGACAAAGAGGUCGAGAGUGUCGUCACAGUACAUCGUCUCUCCUUUCACAACUGAGACGAAAAGCAGUUUCGUCGAUGGGACGUAGCUCAAUCUGUUUCGGGAGGUUGAACAGGCCAAAUGAAAAGUAUUCGAGAUUGAGUGGCGAAGAAUUUUGCCCAGGUAAGUAUUGUAUGAUUUUAGUAGAUCACGAUAACUCGUAUAUGCUUCGUUUAACAUUUUAUCUAUUUAUUUAGAGUCAGCCGUAUGAUAGUUGGAAGGAUGAUAUUGGACACAUAUAAGUGGUUUCAUGAUAUCACCACUCAGGGGACUUGGCUCGCCGACUACGUAAGUAACUCAUAUUGUUACUUUUUUUUAUACUUUAUGUUUGAUUUAUUAAAUGAAAUACCUCUCAUUUUUUUUUGUUUUUCUUAAUGCAGCACAUCGACAUGAUCAUAGGCUUUCUAUGCGAUCGAGCUAAGAGAUAUCCACGAUUAUUCCAAAUUCCUGGUCAAAUAAUACUGAAUAUCGAGUUCUUCCGUGCCGUUAUAAUUAAAUAUCAGGUGCUCCAACUUAUAGGUAAUGAGACAUGCUGUCUGGGUAUAUAUUCAAAUGCGUUAUCAAGCGAUCACCGAGUGUUGUGUAAAAGUCAUAGGAGGGUUAUACGCAUAUGUACAUUUCAGUGAUCGUGAAUCAUCACUGCAUUGCUCUGGAUAUCAUAUUUGUUGACUCGACGUUAUAUGUGUAUGAUCCCGAUCAUUUAUGUCUAACACAAUGGCAGCUAGAGCUGAACUUGGAGCCGGUAAUUAUGAACGUUAAUCUGAUGGCUAGAAAGGCGGGCUUGACUGUGCAGGACAAACUAGCCAUCGUGCGGUCAACGACGAUGUGACAAUCUAUAUCGUAAGUGUUUGUCAAUUAUUUUUAAACAUAUAAAUUAGUUUUUACGUAGUUGGAAUCAAUUAACACAUUAUUGUUCAUUUGUGGGGGGACUGUGGCAUUUUGACUAUCAAGUACAAUAAAUUUUUUAGUAUAGCACAUAAGAUUAAUGGAAUCAACUAGUCAUGAAUACAGAAUUUGCGAAAUAAGUUAGCGUGCGAUUUAUACGAAUUUGAUUGUGAUCCAUAAAUUAUUUGUAAUUAUUCAUUCUUAUUAUUUGUAAUUAUUUUUUGAUUUUUUUGUAAUUUAAUUUUUUUGUAAUUAUUUUUUGUAAUGUAUAGCCAUUAAUUUUUUUUUUUUUGUGAUAUGAAAC
rnacentral:lncRNA from 1 species